rfam:Gossypium hirsutum cultivar TM-1 chromosome 17, whole genome shotgun sequence
UAUUAAAAUUUCAUCAAUUUGUAUUAUUAAAAGGUUGACAUGGUUGGCAGAAUAACUAGAUAGUGAUAUGUCACAUGUACUUUUUGUUGACGUACAUGGAUCGAUUUUUAACAGCAGAAAUGGAUGAAUUUUUUAACA